CCUACGGGAGGCUGCAGUGGGGAAUAUUGCACAAUGGGGGAAACCCUGAUGCAGCGACGCCGCGUGGGUGACGAAGUAUUUCGGUAUGUAAAGCCCUAUCAGCAGGGAAGAAGAUGACAGUACCUGACCAAGAAGCCCCGGCUAACUACGUGCCAGCAGCCGCGGUAAUACGUAGGGGGCAAGCGUUAUCCGGAUGUACUGGGUGUAAAGGGAGCGUAGGUGGCAUGGCAAGCCAGAAGUGAAAACCCGGGGCUUAACCCCGCGGAUUGCUUUUGGAACUGGCAGGCUGGAGUGCAGGAGGGGCAGGCGGAAUUCCUGGUGUAGCGGUGAAAUGCGUAGAUAUCAGGAGGAACACCGGUGGCGAAGGCGGCCUGCUGGACUGUAACUGACACUGAGGCUCGAAAGCGUGGGGAGCAAACAGGAUUAGAUACCCUUGUAGUC
rnacentral:rRNA from 1 species